ACGCUCGACACCUACGCGAGGCAGCAGUGGGGAAUAUUGCACAAUGGGGGAAACCCUGAUGCAGCGACGCCGCGUGGAGGAAGAAGGUCUUCGGAUUGUAAACUCCUGUUGUUGGGGAAAAAGAGGAUGGUACCCAACAAGGAAGUGACGGCUAACUACGUGCCAGUAGCCGCGGUAAUCUGAGCGGGCUGGCAAGGC
rnacentral:rRNA from 1 species